rnacentral:pre_miRNA from 1 species
AAAGUACUCCCUCCGUCCCAAAAUUCUUGUCUUAAUUUGUCUAGAUACGGAUGUAUCAAGUCACAUUUUAGUAUUAGAUACAUCUGUAUCUAGACAAAUCUAAGACAAGAAAUUUGGGACAGAGGGAGUAGUUG